rnacentral:rRNA from 1 species
AGUGAACGCUGGCGGUAGGCCUAACGCAUGCAAGUCGAACGGCAGCACAGAGGAGUUUGCUCCUUGGGUGGCGAGUGGCGGACGGGUGAGGAAUACAUCGGAAUCUACUCUGUCGUGGGGGAUAACGUAGGGAAACUUACGCUAAUACCGCAUACGACCUACGGGUGAAAGCAGGGGAUCUUCGGACCUUGCGCGAUUGAAUGAGCCGAUGUCGGAUUAGCUAGUUGGCGGGGUAAAGGCCCACCAAGGCGACGAUCCGUAGCUGGUCUGAGAGGAUGAUCAGCCACACUGGAACUGAGACACGGUCCAGACUCCUACGGGAGGCAGUAGUGGGGAAUAUUGGACAAUGGGCGCAAGCCUGAUCCAGCCAUACCGCGUGGGUGAAGAAGGCCUUCGGGUUGUAAAGCCCUUUUGUUGGGAAAGAAAUCCAUCUGGUUAAUACCCGGGUGGGAUGACGGUACCCAAAGAAUAAGCACCGGCUAACUUCGUGCCAGCAGCCGCAGUAA